GGGCGCAWKYNUGAUGCAGCCMNGCCGCGUGUAUGAAGAAGGCCUUCGGGUUGUNNAGUACUUUCAGCGGGGAGGAAGGGAGUAAAGUUAAUACCUUUGCUCAUUGACGUUACCCGCAGAAGAAGCACCGGCUAACUCCGUGCCAGCAGCCGCGGUAAUACGGAGGGUGCAAGNNWNAANNGGAAUUACUGGGCGUAAAGCGCACGCAGGCGGUUUNUUWNGUCAGAUGUGAAAUCCCCGGGCUCAACCUGGGAACUGCAUCUGAUACUGGCAAGCUUGAGUCUCGUAGAGGGGGGUAGAAUUCCAGGUGUAGCGGUGAAAUGCGUAGAGAUCUGGAGGAAUACC
rnacentral:rRNA from 1 species